GGUGAACGCUGGCGGCGUGCUUAAGACAUGCAAGUCGAACGGCAGUCUUCGGACUGUAGUGGCGCACGGGUGAGUAACGCGUAACUGACCUACCCCAAAGUCGCGGAUAACGAUUCGAAAGAAUCGCUAAUACGUGAUGUGCUGUCAGAUUGUGUUCUGCCAGUAAAGAUUGAUUGCUUUGGGAUGGGGUUGCGUUCCGACAGCUAGUUGGUGGGGCAAAGGCCCACCAAGGCGACGACGGAUAGCCGGCCUGAGAGGGUGGCCGGCCACAGGGGCACUAGGACACGGGUCCCACUCAUACGGGAGGCAGCAGUUAGGAAGCUUCCACAAUGGGCGAAAGCCUGAUGGAGCGAGGCAGCGUGAGGGAUGAAGGUCUUCGGAUCGUAAACCUCUGAAUCAGGGACGAAAGACACUUCGGUGGGAUGACGGUACCUGAGUAAUAGCACCGGCUAACUCCGUGCCAGCAGCCGCCGUAAAAC
rnacentral:rRNA from 1 species